rnacentral:rRNA from 1 species
GGGUUGUGAGGUUAAGCGACUAAGCGUACACGGUGGAUGCCCUGGCAGUCAGAGGCGAUGAAGGACGUGCUAAUCUGCGAAAAGCGUCGGUAAGGUGAUAUGAACCGUUAUAACCGGCGAUGUCCGAAUGGGGAAACCCAGUGUGAUUCGUCACACUAUCGUUAACUGAAUACAUAGGUUAACGAGGCGAACCGGGGGAACUGAAACAUCUAAGUACCCCGAGGAAAAGAAAUCAACCGAGAUUCCCCAGUAGCGGCGAGCGAACGGGGAGCAGCCCAGAGUCUGAAUCAGCUUGUGUGUUAGUGGAACGGUCUGGAAAGUCCGACGGUACAGGGUGAUAGUCCCGUACACCAAAAUGCACAGG